GACGAACGCUGGCGGCGUGCUUAACACAUGCAAAUCGAACGAAGAGCGAUGGAAGCUUGCUUCUAUCAAUCUUAGUGGCGAACGGGUGAGUAACGCGUAAUCAACCUGCCCUUCAGAGGGGGACAACAGUUGGAAACGACUGCUAAUACCGCAUACGAUCUAAUCUCGGCAUCGAGGAUAGAUGAAAGGUGGCCUCUACAUGUAAGCUAUCACUGAAGGAGGGGAUUGCGUCUGAUUAGCUAGUUGGAGGGGUAACGGCCCACCAAGGCGAUGAUCAGUAGCCGGUCUGAGAGGAUGAACGGCCACAUUGGGACUGAGACACGGCCCAGACUCCUACGGGAGGCAGCAGUGGGGAAUCUUCCGCAAUGGACGAAAGUCUGACGGAGCAACGCCGCGUGAGUGAUGACGGCCUUCGGGUUGUAAAGCUCUGUUAAUCGGGACGAAAGGCCUUCUUGCGAACAGUUAGAAGGAUUGACGGUACCGGAAUAGAAAGCCACGGCUAACUACGUG
rnacentral:rRNA from 1 species